AUUUCCUUGAGGGUCACAUUCACUUAGCAAAUGCUCCCAAGGCUAUACUCUAUAUUGCAAACUUUUUUCCCCCGGUAUUUACUAAAUAUGAGUCCUGGUAGACCCUGGGUGUUGGUUCUAAGAUAUAACAGCAAGUGUAACAGCAAGGUUCCUCAUAUUAUUGAGGUGGGGGCAGGCAAUAAUCAAAUUAGUAAUUUCAGAUCAUGGUAAAUGCUUUGAAGAAAAUAAAACAUCUUUGUUGUAUGGGCUCAGGGUGGGGAAUGGACAUUGGAGCAGCAAUCUGAAUAAGGAGGAGCUAGCAAAGCAAAGGCAAAAGGAAACCCUUCCAAGCAAAGAGAACAUCAGUACAACCCUGAGGUCUCUGAUUUAAUGCUGAUUAGGGGUUUAAGAAAUGUUUGACAAAAAAUUAGUGUUCUCAAAAUUCUAGUACAAGGUAAAGUUAAGAGUCCAAAGAUCAAAGAGCUAUACUGGAAAAUUUGUUCUUGGCUUUAAACGAAGAUGCAAAAAGAAUGUGUAUGGACAUAUAUUUAUAUGUCUCACAAGGGUCUUUUAAAAAAGCCUUUCAUGUCCUUUAUCCUUUAAACUUUUAUAACAUAGGUUGAAAGCAUGAUACAAUCUUUAACUUCCAGCUCAUGUACUGAAAGAUCUUUUUCUCAGAACUAAUGAAGACUUCCGUUCUGCUGGGAUGUAAUUCACCUCCCUUGUUCCAGGAUUGGAAAUAAGAAUGCUGAGUACCUCUAAAUGCAACUCUGUAAAAGAAAAAUACGUGGGCACAUGGACUAGGCAGGUGGGGCGUAUAGGACUGGGGCAGGGUUGUUUCGAUUUUCCUUUUUUGUUAUUAAAGCUGGAAAGAAAAGACUACAUUGUGCACAACUGUGCGAUCUCCUUGUCCUCAACGUUAAUAAAUGUGUUUUUAACUGACGUUUCUUUCCCACGUCUAGUAUCACCACCACCUACAACCUCUCUAAGCCACAGUUAAAGUUGAAAAGUGCACGAGGUCUUUACAAACGUACAGUGAGUGCGUCUGCUCACGUACAAUCCACGUGCACCCUUCUUUCCCUGGACAGAAUUUCUUGGGGAUCCUUCAGGCCCCCGGCCAUAUUUCUCCCCAGGCUCUUAUUAAAACCAGGUGCGCAGGAGGAAGGCCUUUUUAGAUUAAAAAAAAAAGCCUUCUCUUGACCCAAAGCUCCCCCCUCCGGUGUGUUUUCUAGAGGGGCUUCUUGAACUAAGCAAAGAGAAAGCAGGCGCCAGGUCCCAGCCGGGCGAGCGGGGCUGCACUUGUUGAGAAGGGCAGGCGGCGGGGCUGGGCCCGGGCAGGGUAGACAAGGACAGAAAGUGAGGCGGGGUGGGGCGGCAGCGGCAAACAGCCGGGGACCAGGGCCGUGGCCGCCCGGUGCCGCGCAGGGGCGUUGUCCCCGCGCGCUGAGAGGCCCCCAGACCCACCGCGCUCUGUAGGGCGGAAGAGAAGGAGCGGAAGGGAAGCAGCGCAGUCGCCGCGCCCUGAACUUGAAACCCCGGCGGCCUGCGCCUCGGGCGCUUAGAGGAGCCGCCCGAGACCCCGACCUUUCCCGGGCCCCGCGCCGGCUUCCAGAACAUACGUGGGAAAUCUGAGGAACAAAGGAGCUAUGUAACUUGCCCAAAUGACACCAGUAAUAAAUGGUAGAGCUGGGAUUUGAACCAAGCAGUCCUGCUCCAGAGUCCGUGAUCCUAAAUGGUAUAUAUACUGAAGCAGUGCCUUCAAGAUUAAAAGGGAAAAGUACAUGCAACCUGGAACUCUAUAUCCGGCCAAAUUAUCACUCCAGUCUGACUUUCCAGCUUUGCAGUGUGGGGUGCUGUUGAGGUGAGUGGCUAUACACCAGAAUCCUAGGGGAAGACCCUGAUUGGUCCUCCAUGGGUGCAGGUGAAUGGUACUAUGAUUGGCCAAGCCUCAGUCAGCUGCCAGAAAAGGGAAGAUGGGGAAUAAACAGCUGGGCCACCAAAAAUAAGACCUAUUACAUCCCAGCAUCAAUGUACCUACCAAAUGUGCUCGAGUGAAGAUUUACUAGAGCCUGGGCCAAUUGGCAGUGUAAGUAAAAAUGUCUCAUAAAUGCUAAAGCACCAUGAAAUGUUGGUUGUCAGUACUAAAUAUAAGUCUAUAUUGGCCCUGCCUAGCCAAACUGCAAUUACUCCUGGAUCCUUAGUUCUCUGAAUGUUUUAAGUUUUUCUUUCCUCCUAGCAGAUUCAUUUGUCACAGUUUCCCCGGGUAUUGGCCUCUUUCUUCUAACAGAGUCUGCUUCCAACUGCAGUGAAAAAUUUGCUCAUGUCAUUUUUCAAAGGAAGUCAGGAGGGGGAAAAAAACGUCCACAGUUGGAAUAGUUCGAAACUAAAAACAUAAUGGAUGUAUGUGCGUGUAAUCAGAUUGUUCUCAGCAUCUUUCACUCUACCGUUUCUCUAAUCUAUUGAGUCACUUUCUUGGCCUUGUUGCGCCAGUCCUCAAAUAAGCCAAAAAUAUUUUGCUGAUACUAGCUGCAAUUUAUUGGGUGAUAGGAUAUUUGCAAUGUACUUUGAGACUGAGCUUAUAGCCCCAAAGAUUAGGCAAAUAAUUAGUAGAGAAAUAUUUUUGCCAUCUCGAAAAAGCAAACUUCAGAUUAAUUAAGUCUAUGUUGGAAUCUCACAUUUUUAUAGGCCUACUUUAGACGUUCUGAUUUUUAAUUAGGUGUGUGGUGUUCCUUGACUGCUGACAAUGUGAAGUAGGCUGAUGCCUAAAUAUGCGUCUGAUAAACUUCUCAUUGAUGUCAACACUUGAAUACCUAAUGCUACACUGAACUUUGUAUUCAAAGAUAGUAUGGAUGAAUGCUAACCACUUGUGAGUCUGAGUUUUUCUAAAAAGACCUUAAGUCAGAUCUUGGUAAUGUUCCCCCUCAUAGACACUAGUAAAAUCUUAGCACACGGCCUUCACUUCAUUAGCACAGAAUAAUCAAAACAAGACAUUACCAGGUGAUUACCCAAGGCCAUUCUCCGUCCACUUUUUUCCUUGCCAGCUUCCCAGGACAGAGGUUGAAAAUUGCAGAUAUUCUCAUUCCCAGCCUCCUCUGCAGUUAACAAUAGCCAUGUGGUCCAGGUCAGGCCAGUUGGAACCAAGAGAGAGAUGGCUGAGGGGCUUGGAGGAAAGAUUUUCUUACCUCAGUGAAAGACAAGACGCCUGGGUAGAGAGCCUUUAUAUUUCCAUCCUUCCUGCUUCCUUCCUGUUUGGGUUACAUUUGAGAAGGUAAUUCCAGGUGCUGUAGCAGCCAUCUGUGACCAUCACUAAAACACUGAGGAUGACAAAGCAAAAAAAAAAAAAAAACCUUAGUCACUGGGGAUAUCAUUGAGCCACUACACCAAGUGGAAUGGCCUGCUUCCACAUGUCAUGUCAAGGGAAAUUAAUUAUCUCUACAUUUCAGCCACUGGGCAUCCUAAUCGCUUUCAACCAAAGGCAUGCUUUAAAUAAUUCAAAGAUAUGAAUUAUUUAUCCAGUAGUCAUUCUAGGCUCUCCCCUUCUUGACGGUACCCAGAUUUUUAUUUGGGUAUCCCGCUGCUCUAUGCAUCCCCUGUGGCCAGUGGAAGCAGAUUCUGCCCCCAUUUAACAGGGGUGAUCACUGGUGGCCUUAGGUCAGUCAAUACAUUCCAUUCUCCCGGCAUUGAAUGAAAAUUGAUUCAAAGGUUAGCUGCAACUUAAGUUGUCCAUGCAGAGUGAAACUCUGGAUUCUUUCCGGACAAGAUGUGCUCCUUCUCAGCCACUCAUGUGGAAGACUGGAACACAACAGCCAUUCUGCCACCAUGGAAGAAGUACAUCCCUCAGAAGGCAGAACAGAAAGACAAAAAGGCACUAACUUCAUGCUAACCUCACUGAGGUGCUGGAUCUCUCUAGUUUUGGAAUUGCCAUUUCAUGAGCUCGUAAAUCUUCUUUAUUAAAGUCAGUUUGAGUCAGAUUCUCUGUUCUUUGCAACUUCAGAAUGCAUUCUGAUUUGAGGUACUUCCUAUCUGGACUAUUAGGUAAGAGGCAAAGAGGAAAACCAAACGGCAGUCUUUCAAGAGGCAAAAGCAAAAACACUUUUCUAUUCCUGAACCAUAUUAUGUAGGUGUGACAUCAUCCACCUUUUCUUCCCUCAUCAAAGAGAGAGAAAAAAAUGAUGUAUUGAACUGUCACGUGUAAUGUGCUCUGCUACUUACUCUGUUGGGCUUUGGGCCUUGGAUUCUGAAUAAGGAAAUGGGGACAAUAAUAGUAUCUCCCUCGUAGGGAGACUCUGAGAUUAAAUGAUAUAAUAUGUGUAAAGUGCCUCAAACAGGGCCCGUUCAUAGCAAGCACUUGGGAGAUACUAAUUACUAUGAUUAUAUGAAUCCUCAGUCCACUAGGGCUUGUGCUAGAGAAGAGCAGUAACUCCUGCCAAAUCUUCCAAAUGAUCUCUGUACAAGACAUCAUCUUUUUGAAGAGCUCAUGCCUCUUCUUUUGGUCAAAAGAGAGCAAAGUAAGUUUCCUGCAGAUUUCUGAGAAGCCCUCAUCCUGCCUUAGGUCAAGCACAGAUCUCUCAUUCAAAGCUCAGCCCUUUCAGAAGUGCAUGGCACAUCGCUUCACAGCUUCCAUGAAGAUAGGUGCAGGACACCCCCGUACCCCAGGAAUUCAGGACUAGCCCUGUUCAUGAUCGCCCACCAGCCCAGCAUGAGGAAAAGUCACCCUGGGGGAUGUUUGUACUUGGCCACUGCCCACCUCACCCCAGAGUCCCCCAGGACAGACCAGCAUGGAUAGUAAACCAGAAGGAAAGGGAGACACCCAGAGACUCAGCAGCCUUUGUAAACAGGGUUCAUGGAACGGCUGCCUCAGUGAUUUCAUCCCUGGCCAAGGACACCGUAAAAAAGAGAAAUAUUCAGUGAUCACCAUUUCGCAGUGCUGUAAAAGACUUAGAAUCGGGGCCCAGAAAGCUCGAGUUCCAGCAACAUUCUGCUCUGACAGGACCUUAAAAUGCCUUCUGGAGUCAAGUCAGGGAGAAAAAUUCUUAAGGUAACUGAGUGCAGCAAAUAACUAAGUAGGAAGAAUUCACUCUAAUUGCCAAAAAGGAAUAUGGCCAAAGCUUCCAAGGAACAGGGAAAAAAGUGAAAAAGAAAGCAGAAACAUUAUGAUAAGAAGAGAAGGGAUGUUCAUUUUCAAACAGAAGAUAAGAUAUGGAUUAAAGUUCAUCCUCAGAAUAAUGUAGCAAGAAACUUUAUAGCCAAGCUGACUCCAACCGGAAAGGUCCCUGUUUCUCGGAUCUCUUUGAAUUAUAGGGAAAACUAAUUGGAUCUUCAUGUUUACCGUGGAGGAAACCAAGUGUUACUCGGGAUGUAAAUCCUGGAGGUACUUUAAAAAAGCAACACUGACCUUUACAAGCCUUUAAACGUAUAGAUCUGUAAGGAGAAAAAAAAUUGAUUUCCUGACCU